rnacentral:tRNA from 1 species
GGAUUGUGGCUCAGUGGUAGAGCGCUCGCCUAUCACUGGGGCCCUGGGUUCGACCCUCAGCACCA